AUGGCGGUCCGAAACCCAUACUUUUCACUUUCGAAAGGGUGAGUGUACUAUCACUUUGGAAGACGUCUAUAUGUUACUCGGCUUACCUUUUGGAGGUUCAAUUGUUACGGCUCCUCCAA
rfam:Medicago truncatula strain A17 chromosome 5, whole genome shotgun sequence.